GCCCUUUCCUUUUCCUUUUCCCUCCCUUCCUGUUGCCCACGUUCUCCCCAGGAGAGGCCCCACCGCCACCUGCUCAGAGCCGAGCUUCAGAGUAAAGCUGGUGACCCAAGACCACUGUCAAAACCACGCCGGACACCUCAUGGGUCAAUCAAGCCUUUGUGGGCUGAUCCAAGUCCCCAGAUCACCCUCAAGGACAGCACUGCUUCUACAGGGAAGUAACCACAUGAACAAAGAGCAUUCAGAGCACACCCUGGCCCAAGCUGAGGACAGUCCGUACUUUGGUCUCCUUGGAACAACUUACCCUUCUGGGUUUCAGGCUGAACCAGGGUGUAGGGAGGUCUAGCAGAAGCCCUGGGGUCAAGCCGUCCUCGGCUGGGCCUAAGGAGAACAUGGCAAGGCCUAGGUCAGCUCAGACAGACGGUGAAGCCAAUGGAGAGUAGAUGGAGACUGUGGCCUUUGCUCUCUGCUCCCCCACCUCCUGGGCAACCCCCUACCUGUUCCCUCGUGUAUCCAGCCCCCUGGUGCCUUCACCAUACGAACCUCACUUGGAAAGUCUCCCACCAACUCUUCCAAGAUGCAAAGUCCCAGGCACGAGAGGGAAGAAAAAACUUCCAGUGUCACCAGCCAGGUUUGUUUCCUGAACGCUGAGAUGCCGAAAUUUGCAGCAAAGUGUGUUUGCUCGGGGAGCGUGGGGAAAGGUGAUGAGGAAAAGCUGUGAGGAUGGUUGUUCUGCGCAUGUGUGACUCCGCUAUGGGCCAGAAGUAGCAGACCACGUGUUCCCGCUCGCUCAGAUGAAGGAUGGGCGGUUCCAUCCAGUCUUAACCAACUCAGCUCCAACUAGACACAGCUGAGUCCAAGUUUCUAGAAAACAACUCAGGCAAACAUGUUAGCGGCCUUGGGUUCUUAAAAUGACCAUGCUUAGUGAAGGCAGGUGAAAUGGGUUUAACCCACGGCCUCAAUGGGACCUACUCUAUCAGGGAGAAAGCCUAAAACUAAGUCAGAGCCACUCAGAUGUGUUUGGGGCAGGGGUGGGCACCCAGGGUGGGGGCGGUUCUUGUAUGUCUUCAAAUAGGUAUCUGGCGGCGGGCCCAGUGCACUGACCUUAAAGGAGUCUCUGCCACACCCUUAACCCUGGCAACCCUUGACCCUCCCACUAACCCCAGCCUCAACCUCAGCAUCCUUCUGGUACCAAAGACCAUUCUUAAGACUGCAGAGGGGCCACUGGUGAUGGCCAGAGUCCCAAGCCUGCUGUUGCCACCUAUUAACAUGAGCUGAUUCUUUUUAUCAGCACAGAUUAGAAAGGGUCUCCUGUCUCAAUAACCCCUAGGAGCAUCUCAGCCUCCUACGAUGUUGCUAAGUUUUGCAGGCCAGAGCAACUGGCUCCAUAACACCAACUUCUCCUGUGUGGGGAGAAGCCCAACUUGAGCCUCCUGGCUCUGAGCAAAGAUGUCUUGCCCUGGAGGAGCAAGGAAGUCUCCUCUUGUUUGUGUGAGAUCUAGAGUUGAGUGUUGGGCUUCAACGCUCUGCCAGAGAUCUGCAGCCUGACCCUCCUUACAAUCCUGCCCGUCGGCAGCUUCACAAGCUCACGUGGCUGCCCCUUCUGUGCGCCCCUCAGGACCUGGCCCUCAUCACUGUCCCUCAGCUGGAUGGCUCACUCCCAGGGCAUCAGGAAGCAUCACCACAAACCAGUGUCCUUCAUCUGUGUGCUCCUGCCCAGAACGGGUCUUCAAAAACACAUCAGACUCUCACCUUCCUGUCACCAUUUAUCUGGCUUCCCAGGGGUCAGGGGGCGGCAGAGAAGACUUGCUGAGGCUGAACUAAAUACCUAUCAGACCACAAGGAGCAGAUGGUCAUCUGUGACCUGGCCUGGAGGGACGAGGGAUCUUCUUUUCCUCUGGGAUUUAUGAACACCCAUGGUGUGGAGUCCCAAAACAUGGCCUUUUCCCUUGUAGGGUCUGGGGUAUUUCAUCCUCUCAUUGAAAACUGUUCUAGGAGGGGUCCAGAGCACACAGACCUCACUGAAUUGAGGCCUGUGGGAGAGUCUGUGUGUGAAGGCUAAUCAGAGUCCCGGGCAUCUGGGCCACCAGACACACGGACAAAAAGGAGUGCAGAUUCUGAGAGGAAAUCACCCCACGAGGGUGAUUAAGCCACCUUAGGGCCACAACUGGGGCUUCAUGUGUGCUCAGCCGUUUCAGGUUGCCACGGAUGAGCCAUGACCAAGGAUGAUUCCAGAUUGUGUUUGACCUGCUCCUGUACUGGACCCCACAGCGGGGCAUUUAUACAAAGGCCUCCAGACUUACCAGCCGGGACAGGGCUCAAGAGAACCAGCUGCUGCCACUCAAACUCCUGCUCAAGUCAGGAGGCUCCGAGCAGUACUGCUGCCCCCACAGCCCUGUCCAGGGGCCAUUUAGCACCAGAGCUGGGGCUGGUCCAAGGAGGAGGGAGAGAAUGAGGAGGCCCGGGGGUUUGCAGCUCCAGGAAUGGCAUGGAUCAGAGUCGGCAUGACCUUCAGUAAGUCACGAUGCUCCCCAGACCUUGGUGUCUGUGUCUGUGCUGUCUACUGGUGGAUGGCAGUCCUUAUAAAGAAAUGAGGAAAUGUACAUGAAAGUGAUGGAAAACUAGUGCACGACAGAUGUACCAACUACUUCCAGAGGUCCCUUCCAGUCCUGAGCCGUAUGCACGUACAUUUCUGUGAAAUCCAGACUCCGAGGGGCCAGUGGUUUGAUGACCUGGCAGAAGGACAUGGGGAGCAGAGGGAGAGGAAGGAGCUGGACAGGCAAUCUUCCUGGUGACACAAGCAUGUGGUGACCACAGGGGCCAGUGUGGUCGUGAGGAGAAACGCCAGCACAUUACAAAAUGCCAUGUGUCGUCCUCAACAUCCGAGACAUGGAGACCCCCUCCUCAGGAAGCUGGAGGUAUUUCCUGGUGGCUUGUCCACUCCUAAGAUCUGGAUCCAUCAUUGAUCUUUCUAGUACAGCAAACUGUAGCACCCCCAGAGACCUACCCCUGGGGGGAGAGCUGCAGGGGGCCACUGUGCUCGGAGCCCAGCCUGCCGGGGUCCCACGUCACUGCAAGAGCCAGAGGGCAGGCGGGCAAGAACAGAGACUCUGGGGGGCCAUCACAGCAUCCAGCCGUCGGGAAGGGCUGAGGCACAGCCACUGGUCUCUCCAGCCAGGCUGUCCUUCUAGGGAGCCCGCCCCAGGCAAAGUGCCCUGGAGGACACAUCCGCAUCCAGCAACAGCUGGCGCUCCGUGAAGACAGCAGCUAGAAAUCUGGGGGGGAGAGUGCAUGGGCGAAGGCAGGGCCGCCAGUGCCUGCCCGGGAUCCCAGCCCCCCGCCUGUGUCUCGUCUUCUCAUCUUGAAAAGAACUGCAUGGUCAUCCUCUUUUGUUCCCUGACGUUUUUCAGCGCCACCUCGGUGGGCUGCCCCCUUUCACAGAGUCACUCCAGGACAGUGACUCAAACGGGAACUCAGCUGCCCCAGGUCUACUUCUCUGUUUCUCUCAUUUCCCCUCCGGGACAAACCUAGGUCAGCAGCUGUGGCAGGUUCUUGAGCAAAGAUGCUGGGGCCCAGGGGACUGCCUUGUCUGAUCUCUCAGCCUCUCUCACUCAGGCCUUAGAUUUAUCCAGAAAGAGUGCCUUCCUGUAUGUCUGUGGGCUGAUUACAUAAAUACAGUGUUGCAUCUGCCCUGGGCUCCUGGAGACCUCAGCAUCAGACUGACUUCAACGCCAAAUGAACAGAACGCAAUCCGUGAAGAGGACCAGGAAUGUCUCAAAAAUGUUCUUUCUUCCCAUUCCAGCUGUGCCAUGAUGACAUUACACAAAAUGAGAUAAGAUAACAUUUUUUGAGAACCCUGACUCUCCGGCUCUGUGCCACAGAAGGAAAUAAGCUCAAUCUAAUUACACAGAACAAAUAGCUGUGCUCCUCUCCCUGUGCACGGCCCUCCCAAGGGUCCUUGGUCGGCUCCCUGCCUCCACCUACCCCCAUAAGACCAUUUUGCAGGAGCUGACACACCUCCCUCACAGCCAUGCCCCCAAAAGGGAGUCAGCUAUGACCCAGGCUUCCUCUGCUGUUUGUUUCUCUUGGUGACUGUUUCUAGGUCUGGCCACUGGAUUUCAGCUCUCAGAACAGAACUGAUGUUGCAGAAAUAAACCGCCCAGAGAGCUUUGCAGGAGGAGGGCCCCCCACCCACAGCCCUGGAGCACACAGGGCUGCCACUGGGCACAGCUACUCACCUGGUACAUCCUGCAGCCUCCCCGCCCAGCAAGGCCCAGCCUGGAAAGCUGUGGUACCAACAUGCGAGUCCCCCGAAAGUCUGUUCCAGGGGCUACAGCAGAGCUGUUGGGGGGUCCCCUCUUGCUUGGGCUCUAGCCACCUUGGAUCCCCCACCCCCAAGACACUGGCUUUCCCCAAGACUGGCACAGUCAUUCCUGGCCUGGGGCCCGCCUUUGAGCUCAGCUUCUGCCUGCAUUUGCCCAGUUCUAUUUAUCAAGCACUUUCCAGGGCAGACCUCACACAGGUGCUGGGGACUCAGAAGCAAGAGGACAUAGUCACUGCCCUUCAGGGAGCUUGCGAUCCUAUGACUUAAAAGGACAACACAGACUCUACUCUUACCCUGCCCCCACCAUCCAGGGCUCUGCCAGAGCCUUGUUCCCAGCCUUUUCCAAACUCAGAAACAUCCUUACAUGCAACAGCUUUCCAACUGCUGAAUCAAACAUACAAGAUGCAAAAACAAAAUCAAGAUGCUUCUGGCCUCUGUCUUCACUCUGAAAAGCACAAAAUCAGCACUUCCCAAAACGUGAGAAAAGCAACAGCUAAAUGUGUGCCCCUGAGUAACAGAGGCUAGGUUGAUAAAAACAAAAUGUCCUAUACUGUGAAAGCCACUUGCAGAUAAAAGGUGAGCAGUGUGGGGCUGGGUGUCCUUGGCGGCUCACAGGUAAAGAAUCUGCCUGCCAAUGCCGGAGACACAGGUUCUAUCCCUGGGUUGGGAAGAUCCUCUGAAGGAGGAAAUGGCAACCCACUCCAGUAUUCUCGCCCGGGAAGUCCAUGGGCAGAGGAGCCUGGUGGGCUACAGUCCGUGGAGUUGCAAAAGAGUCGGACAUGACUUAGGGACUAAACAAC
ensembl:lncRNA